GCGGGUGUAGCUCAAUGGUAGAGCUGAAGCUUCCCAAGCUUACGACGAGGGUUCGAUUCCCUUCACCCGCUCCA
rnacentral:tRNA from 1 species